AGAGUUUGAUCCUGGCUCAGAUUGAACGCUGGCGGAAUGCUUUACACAUGCAAGUCGAACGGCAGCACGGGAGCUUGCUCCUGGUGGCGAGUGGCGAACGGGUGAGUAACAUAUCGGAACGUAUCCAAUAAUGGGGGAUAACUAGUCGAAAGAUUAGCUAAUACCGCAUACGCCCUGAGGGGGAAAGCUGGGGAUCGUAAGACCUGGCGUUAAUGGAGCGGCCGAUAUCUGAUUAGCUAGUUGGUGGGGUAAAGGCCCACCAAGGCGACGAUCAGUAGCUGGUCUGAGAGGACGACCAGCCACACUGGAACUGAGACACGGUCCAGACUCCUACGGGAGGCAGCAGUGGGGAAUUUUGGACAAUGGGCGCAAGCCCGAUCCAGCCAUUCCGCGUGAGUGAAGAAGGCCUUCGGGUUGUAAAGCUCUUUCGCAAGGGAAGAAAACUUACUUUCUAAUAAAGAGUGAGGUUGACGGUACCUUGAUAAGAAGCACCGGCUAACUACGUGCCAGCAGCCGCGGUAAUACGUAGGGUGCGAGCGUUAAUCGGAAUUACUGGGCGUAAAGCGUGCGCAGGCGGUCUUGAAAGUCAGAUGUGAAAUCCCCGGGCUCAACCUGGGAACUGCGUUUGAAACUCCAAGACUAGAGUAUGGCAGAGGGGGGUAGAAUUCCACGUGUAGCAGUGAAAUGCGUAGAGAUGUGGAGGAAUACCAAUGGCGAAGGCAGCCCCCUGGGUCAAUACUGACGCUCAUGCACGAAAGCGUGGGGAGCAAACAGGAUUAGAUACCCUGGUAGUCCACGCCCUAAACGAUGUCUACUAGUUGUUGGGAGAGUAAAAUCUCUUAGUAACGCAGCUAACGCGUGAAGUAGACCGCCUGGGGAGUACGGUCGCAAGAUUAAAACUCAAAGGAAUUGACGGGGGCCCGCACAAGCGGUGGAUUAUGCGGAUUAAUUCGAUGCAACGCGAAAAACCUUACCUGGCCUUGACAUGUACCGAAUUUGGCAGAGAUGCCUUAGUGCUCGAAAGAGAGCGGUAACACAGGUGCUGCAUGGCUGUGUCAGCUCGUGUCGUGAGAUGUUGGGUUAAGUCCCGCAACGAGCGCAACCCUUGCCAAUAAUUGCCAUCACUUAGUUGGGCACUUUAUUGGGACUGCCGGUGACAAACCGGAGGAAGGUGGGGAUGACGUCAAGUCCUCAUGGCCCUUAUGGCCAGGGCUUCACACGUAAUACAAUGGUCGGUACAGAGGGUUGCCAACCCGCGAGGGGGAGCUAAUCUCAGAAAGCCGAUCGUAGUCCGGAUUGAAGUCUGCAACUCGACUUCAUGAAG
rnacentral:rRNA from 1 species